GACGAACGCUGGCGGCGUGCCUAAUACAUGCAAGUCGAGCGCAGGAAAUCGACGGAACCCUUCGGGGGGAAGUCGACGGAAUGAGCGGCGGACGGGUGAGUAACACGUAAAGAACCUGCCCUCAGGUCUGGGAUAACCACGAGAAAUCGGGGCUAAUACCGGAUGGGUCAUCGGACCGCAUGGUCCGAGGAUGAAAGGCGCUUCGGCGUCGCCUGGGGAUGGCUUUGCGGUGCAUUAGCUAGUUGGGGGGGUAAUGGCCCACCAAGGCGACGAUGCAUAGCAGACCUGAGAGGGUGAUCGGCCACACUGGGACUGAGACACGGCCCAGACUCCUACGGGAGGAAGCAGUAGGGAAUCUUCCACAAUGGACGAAAGUCUGAUGGAGCAACGCCGCGUGAACGAUGAAGGCCUUCGGGUCGUAAAGUUCUGUUGUAAGGGAAGAACAAGUGCCGCAGGCAAUGGCGGCACCUUGACGGUACCUUGCGAGAAAGCCACGGCUAACUACGUGCCAGCCGCCGCAGUAA
rnacentral:rRNA from 1 species